rnacentral:rRNA from 1 species
AAGGUUUCCGUAGGUGAACCUGCGGAAGGAUCAUUAUUGAACAAACUGGUGUUGGCUGAGCUGGCCUUUUCGGAGGCAUGUGCACGGCCCGCCAUUGUUUCAUCCUUCUCUUCCACCUGUGCACUUCUGUGGGCCCACUCCAGUACACUUUGUGCGCUGGAAUCUGGUGCCUACGUUUUACUACCUACACCAUUGAAUGUUUAGAACGCAUGAAUAGGGCAUUCUUGCCCAUAAAACCUUAUACAACUUUCAACAACGGAUCUCUUGGCUCUCGCAUCGAUGAAGAACGCAGCGAAAUGCGAUAAGUAAUGUGAAUUGCAGAAUUCAGUGAAUCAUCGAAUCUUUGAACGCACCUUGCGCUCCUUGGCAUUCCGAGGAGCAUGCCUGUUUGAGUGUCAUUAAAUCAUCAACCACCUCAUCAUUGAGAGGGUUGGACUUGGAGGUUCUGCUGGCCCUAUCCGGGACCGGCUCCUCUGAAAAGCAUUAGCAGGGGCUCAUCUUGUGCGAUCUGCAGCCUUGUGUGAUAGUAUCUACACUCGGCGCGGUCACAUUCACCCAGCUUCUAGCCGUCCGCUUGGACAACACAAUUGACCACUUGGCCUCAAAUCAGGUAGGAUUACCCGCUGAACUUAAGCAUA